CUGCAGAUGAGGCUCUGGAAUGCACAGGGAGAGAGGGUUGCCUGGGUUGCAGCUUUGAAUUCUUCCCGAGCAGGUGCUCACAGCGUGCCUCUCGGUGCAGUUCCUGAUAUUUCUGGUAAUGCACUUUUGUAGAGUUAUGGAGUUGUCUGCCUAGAAAAUUACGCAAGCCUUGGAAAUAAGCACAGAGUAGAAAUCUAUGUUGUUUUACUGCCAUAUGUACUGGAGCCCUGCCCAACUGUUGUUUAAAUCUCCGGGGAAUGUACCUUUG
rnacentral:lncRNA from 1 species